rnacentral:lncRNA from 1 species
CAGGCUGGGAGUGCCCGCCUCGAGGUCUCCUUACUUACCCACCACGGUACCCUGGCCAGGGCCGUCUGAGGUGGCUCCUGUUAUCGUGGCUGCUUUUGAGGAUCAUGGUUAAGACCACCGGACCGACGGUCAAGCCGGUUGUAAAUACCCUUCUUUCCAUGUUCUUCAGGGACACCAGCCCCAGCGACGACCUUGGACGAUUUCAACGCGCAGGCACCUCGAUCCCCCGAAUUCUUGGUGUGGCCGGUAUCACUGUUCCCCUGGUUUAACUAGCCUGUUUGGUAAGUAACUGAAUAUUUUUUACAGCGUGUUCAGAGCUUAUUUUCCAGUUUUUAUGAACAAACAUAUAAAUAUAUCUCUGCAUUCCUGACUCUCCCAUAAAAGCGGGCAUCUGUGGAAAGCAGGUUUAGUUAUCGGAGGGGAACCAUUAAACAGCAGUUUAAGAGGCAGAGCGGGAGGACGGCUCGUGGAUGUUUAGACUGCUGGCCUUAGUGAUCUUGAACGCAUUAUAACGGAAAAUGGAUCUCCAUUUGUAAGUCAGCGGGCCGCGCGGGGCACCAGGGCCGCGGCGCCCGCGUGGCGUGAGCAUCUUGAGGAAGCUGGAGAGAGGCUGGGGCGGGGAUGGACAGGGGCAGGAGCUGAAACAUCCUCAGGACUUGGUUGGGAGUCGCAAAGGGAGCCGGCUAUGCAGCUCAGGAUUCGGCCCGAAGGAGUUUGGUGUGGAAAAGGGUGUCAACCAGGACCCCACGCGGCCGUAAAUUAGAGGAAGCCCAAGGCAGGGUGCACAGAAGCGUGGGCCGGCCAGGGCGGCCUGGGACUCGCCACUGGGCCUGGCUGGGGUCACCCAGGGGAGACCUUUAACUCCACCUUGGAUAUUGUACUUUGGAAGCAGGCAGAGUCAGGCCCCAGGCCGCCAAGGGAGCCCCACCCCACAAAGGGAGCCCCACCCCAAGGACUCGGAAGGGACAGUCCAUUCCUUUCCCGCUGGGCGCUUUCGGCGGAGUCCGCGGUUGGGGAUGGAAAGCGAGGUCAGUGCUAAUGGCGGGGGGGGGGGGGGGGGGGGCGGGAGGGGUGGUGGGGGCGCCCACCUCCUGAGCUGCGGGGGAUGCAGGGCCGGCUCCCUCGGCCUUUGCAGCCCUGGGCAGCAGCGUGGAGAAAUACUGUUCAGAUAUUUCCGUGGCUGGGCGUUAGGACAGGGGAAGAUCCUCGGAGAGGGGCUAGGAAACCCAGUGUGGGAGUGAAGUGUCCGUUCGGGCCCUUUCCCUCCCCUCUGCAAGGGGUCAAUUUCCCUGGAUGCCCCCAGCAUAGCAUUUUAAGGCAGAGAGCAGGGGGUGGGGAGAAGCUGAAAUCAGAUUUGUUGGUAAAGUGCCACUUGGCGCAUGGAUCAAAAUAGCGAGCUAGAAGCCCUCGACCCCCCAACUUGGAUGGGUCUGAGAUUUUAGCACAAGCAGGGUGUUUUAAAGACCUUGUUCUUCAAGGAAAGAAUAUAGGUAGUGUGAUGGGGUUCUGUUUACAUUUUCACCAGGGAGGCAAACCCUGAAUGUGUAAAUACUGGUAGUUCAAUCCUCUGACAUGUGAUACUUUUUUUUUUUUUUAAGUCUGUUUAUAAGAACACAUCCAGGCCCUGGAAGCAGGUAGAAAAAGCAUGAUGGUGGCACCCAGGCUAGCAACAGAUAACUGCUCAGGGAAAGAAGUUGGUAGACUGCUUUCAGACCCAGAGGGAGUUUUGGGAACUGAAAGGAAGAAUGGCUGAGUUGGGGACUGGGAUGCCCUGUCCAUCAGAGGUGAGUGGCCUCAGUGUCGAAGCCAUCAGAAUUGGCCACUUUCAGCCUUCUCAUGCUCUUUUAAUUGAAACCAAAAAUGGGCAAAUCUCCUCAUGGCCCCAGAUAUCACGGCAAGUGAUAAAAGAGACGGAGAACACGGGACAGAAAAGAAAAAAAAAAAGUCGUAAAAGAUGCUAAUCUGAGCAUCAGUCCUCACUGACAGUGUCAUUAUCAGUUAAUUAAUGCUGUGCAACAGUCUGGGGCUUCAUGUAGCUCAGAGAGCCAGACCCAGAGACUACAUACAGUCUCAGAAAGGCAAUUUGUAGGCAGGGGACAAAUGGGUGAACUCCAGCGUCCUUAACUGUAGUUAUUAACUCGCAGAGACCAGACUGGCUGAGGGCCAUUCCCAAUUCACAACCAAACGAGUCCUCUUUUUUCUCAUAGAGUCCUCUUUUGUACCUUUUGCUGCGGGUCUAGUGGGGGUGCUGGGUUAGUCUGCUGCUUUGGAAAGCUGUGAGGCAGAUCCACCUCAAGUUCAAGUUUGCCCCCUCCCCCCCCCCAGUUUAGACGAUUAGACAGUCUUUGCUUUCUGGUGGUAGUGAGGGAGGGGGGAGAGUGAUGGAGGAGAACAGUGGGAAAAGAAAGGGAGGAGGGUGAAUUUCCCAGCUGAGAUGUCAGCCAGGGACUGCACUACUGUGCACGCUGCUGAGCUGUCCCCCUAAGGGCACAAGUUCCAGUACUCAAAGGGCGCAAGCAUCUGAGAUGCUGCAGGCUGUUGGCCACCCUGGGUGCCCGCAGGAGGAUUCCUAGUGAGGGUGUACUAACUUGCCUCUCCUUUUCUGAGGCCAUGGGCUGAGCUGCAACCAGUCUUACCCAGGUGGGCAGCCCCCCGUUUGGAGACAUGCUGUGAUUCCUUGUCCAGUCUCCACUGUAGCUGAUGGUCUACCCCUGUACCGCGCGAUACGUCCGCCUCCAGCUAAACAGACAGAACCGGGUUCAACAAUUUGUUUUGCGCCCCUGUCUCUUGGCUCUUUCCCUUCACUCCCACCCCUUCCUCUGGAAAAGACUCAAAGAGCCUGGGAGAAGCUGAGAACUAACUCCCUUGCAAACGUUUUGGUCUUGUGAGAUAUUCCUUUUAAAAUCAAUCUGCUUUAAACUAAAUAUUUUUUUUAAAAACUUCAGUCUGUUUUUAGGGAAAAUACAGAUCUCUCGGAGGUAUUUAUUAUUACAAAGGCAAGGGCAGUUUGUAUCUUAUGUUUUGCUCAUGAGAACUCAAAAUAAACUGGACCUGAAAAGAACCAGGCCAGAGGGCCAUAAACACACAUUUUAUGUUUACGGGAAUUAUGGCUCAAUUCCCUUCAUCGUUUUUCAAAUCUCGUUUUACCUUAUUUUCCUGACCAACAUAGUUGGAGCAAUGGGGCAUUCCUUUAAAUAUCUAUAACGCUCUUAUAUAAGGUGAACCCCAGAAAGUGCCGAGAACUCCAGAAAGAACACCAGACCCAGAAGAUGGCAGAAAAAGAAAUGUGUUCUCGGGGAAGUAACCUCAGCCUCACCUGUUCCAAGGAAGUUGUUUCUUAGGACACCCUGAUGGCUUUGCAUUUUGUCUGAAUAAGGGUGGGAUUGAGUCAUUUUAUAGGCUAGCCACUUGGUCUUAGAACCUUCAGGACAUGAAGAAUAAGGCAUACUGUCUGAGUGGCGGCAAAGGAUCUCCCAACUCGGGUUCCAUAGUCCCUCCCUUUCUGGUUUGCCUUUUGGGAAAUGGUUGUCUACAGACAUGGCAAGUGACAGUGACUCCAGAAAUGUGGGGGUGCUCAGAGGAUACUUCUACAAUGCAGGAUCACGUUCGAUUGGACUCUUAUAUCUGUUUCACAAGAAGUUGCCCAUGGCUCUUAUGAGAUUUUAUUUGUUCUGAGCACUUUCUUUUUGCAUUUUGGGGUGGGGUGGGGUAUUUGGGGAGUGAUUCCUCUCCCCUCUUCUUUCCAGAGCAGAUCUGUGGAGAUGGGGGGGGGAGGGGCUGAUUCAGCUGCAAUGGAGGAGGGGCUGAUUGCUUACGACUCCCUUCAGUCCAGUGUUUUUGUUUUUGUUUUUGUUUUCAGUCCAGUUUUGAUUAGGAAACAUUUAAGUCAGUGGAGAAAAUGGGACUUGUUUGAUGCCUCCCCUCCAUUUAGCCUUUCUUUCAUAUUCCCUUCUUCCCUGCCAGCCCUUUCCUCUUUCUCUCUCUCCCUCCUUCCCUCCUCCUCUCUACCCCCCCCCCCCACCCCUUCAAAUUUGCCUUUGAGCAGUGCUUGGAUUUCUGAGGUUUCUGAUCCCUUCAGGUCAUUGAACCUGAAACUGGUGAAGAAUAAGAUACUGGCUUCUCCUUUAGUCCUUUAAGAAAAAUAAGUAUUUUUGUAAAACACUGAGAUGUAAUUGACAAAUAACGCUGUGUAAGUCUAAGACGUACAAUGUGCAAGAAAAAUGUCACUGUCCAGUCUUACAGGUAGUGGGAAUUUGCAUUUUCUUCAAACGGUCCCUGACGAGAUCUUCAUAUUAACUGGCAGAUGGGCUGCUGCUGUGGGAGGUUUUCACUGAUACCUGGCCAGUUAUUCAAGUUAAAAUACUUAUUCCGACAAAAGGGAACAAAAGAGAAUGCACCUGAAAGGGCCUCCCUAGAGGCAGCAAGAUGUGUAUAUAGGAGGUGCUAUUGAUGUUGUUAUAAGAGGUAAGGUAGAUCUGAUCAUUGCUGCUUUCUAGUAAAGCAUAGAUAGUUUAGAGCACCAGUGGUGUGAGAAAAUACAUGCCACAGGAUUUCUCCUAACUGCUUUGUUUCAAGCAAAUUACAUACACACUGGCAAUAUUUUCUUCCAAGCUAGAAGGAAAGCACUCCACAUUCAGAUGACGAGGAAGCAAUUGUAUUGCAUCCACGGUCUAUGGGAAAAUAAGCAGUCGUUAACUUCAACUAGUCUGCAGGAGGGUUCAGAAUGAAAUACAAAAGCGAAUGGCAACUUAAAAUGUGGAGCUUUGGACAAGCCAUUUAAGUGAGCGAAGGUUUUGUCUGUGACUGGAGGCCCCAUGCAUUCCCAGUUGUAACUGCGGUGUAGCGAGAAUUCUUAGGAAGUCCUGUUCGGAAGCUUCCUUUGCAAAUUCAUGUCGUUUUUUUUUUUUUUUUGUUGUUGUUGUUGUUUGUUUGUUUUGUUUUGUUUUUAGCCCUGGCAGUUUCUUGCAACCCUUUUCUACUUUAUUCUAGGGCCUUUGCUUCUAGACAAGGGACUUGAGCCAGGAUGGUUAGGUUUCAGGUUAACAAAAAGAAACCCUUUUAUUGUCAAUAUUAAUGGCAAACCUCGAUUUUUACAAGGUUUAGGUUUAGCGGCACGAGCAGAUCAAAAGCAGCUUGGCUUGAUUUCUCAAUAUUCUCCGGAGCUUAGACAAUUAGCUGCAAUUUUGCGUCGAACGAAACAACACAAAAAUGUUAGUUACCAAAAUGUUAAAGUUAGUCUUUCGGCAAGGAUUUUACCUGUGCACAACGUGUCAGAAGCUAAUAAAUUCGUCCACUGAACCUGAGUUGAGUUUUGAAGGAAACGCCUUUAACAAAAUGUGUGAGCACACUGUCUUCAUUUGCAAUGCCACGGAGACCUGUUUCAGCUGUGUGCAUUCCACACUUGCCUUUCUGGCUGGGUAAGGAUCCGGCAGACUGAGGUCUCUCUGGUAAUUUGGGUACACCGAGUCUCCAGUUAAUGAUAGAUAAUCAGCCUUUGGGUCAUUCGGUCAUUCUCUUAUUACAAACCCCUCCUGCUCUCUCUGAUCUCCUUUCAAACUAAAUUUCACACAAACAAAUAAAGCAAGACAGGGACAAGUUCCUUAAAAAAAAAAAAAAGGAGGGAGAAAUAUUAGAAACUCCUGAUACAGAACUCUAAACAAGGAAAGGCAAGCUAAAAGAGGAUAGGAAAGAACAUCUUAUCAAAAUGAACAUGCUGUGUACAAAACAUUAGAAGAGAAGGCUCUGGUUUCUGUUAAAGUGACAGAAAAUUAAAAUAAAAAUAAUUGCAGGCAGAGAAGUUAUAAUAUAAACAGAGAAGGCAGGAUGCUUGCUGGAAAUGCGCAGCACGAGGAGGCUAAUUUGUUGUUACAGAUUAUAUAUCUGCACCCGUGAUAGGAGAGGCGCUACUUUGUUCUAUUUUCCAGAAAAGAAUGGCUUUCUUCUUAGUACUUGUGUGAGUGCUCACUUAACACAGGCCAAAACCUCGAGGAACAAAAAAUGGAAUUGCAUUCUGCUUGCGAAGCAUCCAACUUCAAAAGAAGGAAUUGGUUGCAUACAAAAAAAAAAAAAAAGCAUUCCAUUCAAAACACAUUUAGAGGGUUCACUAAAUUGGUAUGACUGAUGCUUUUUUGUUUUGCUGACAGAAGGUGCAGAUCAUUCUCGGGGAAGUCCAACCGAAACCAGCCCUCCCCUGCCCUCUGGAGUCUUCGUUUUCCAGCCUACAUCUGCUUGUGACUCCAGAAAGAGACUCCAGAUUGGCCAAGGUACAUCUCUGACCAGAUCCCUCUAGGAAAAGCUCAGGAAUGCGUGACUCUAAUUGUUCAGAACUCUGGUGAGAGUGUCCCUAGUGCCAUUUUGCUGCCCCUGUCUUUGACAAUCCCUUUUGGCCCAAGUCCAGGUCUCCGGAAGGGUCAAGGUCUAGCUGCUGGUGUCAAGCCCAAGCCCCAGCUUUUCAAUCCUAGGAGAGGUUGGAACUUUGGCUCAGGGCUUGAACAACUCACAGUUCUCCAAGUUAGAGGGGCAGUCCUGAAACAGCAGCAGGUGGUGAAAUUGUGACUCCGAGAUUGUCCCGGACUGAAGUCUGGCA